rnacentral:sRNA from 1 species
GACAAAAUUGACUUUUGUGAGACAAAAUUGACUUUUGUGAGACAAAAUUGCCAAAUUGAAUUUUGUCUCACAAAAGUCAAUUUUGUCAUCACAAAA